CCCCGCGUGCGGUGUGGUGCGGUGUGGCAGCGUGCGGACGAUGGUGCCGUGAGACAGCCGAUGUGCGGGCUGACGCGCGCGGCGCCCGCGCUGUUGCUGCAUGUCAAUCUCUUGCUGAUGCUAUACGCGGGCGCGCUGCUGGCGGCGGCGGCGCGGCUGCAGUGGGACCCCUCGCUGUACGUGGCGGCGCGCGAGCUGUUCCCGCGCGAGAGCCGCGCGCUGCGCGCCGCGCUGCCCGCGCUGGCGGCCGCGCUGCUGCUGCUGGCGCACGCGGCGCUGGCGGCCACGCGCUGCCGCCGAGCGCCGCGCCGCGUCCUUCUCAUACUGGUCGAGUCUCAUUUCCGUAUUGUGGCUACACGGUGUUCUCACUACUUACCGCUGCGUGAGGUCUUCACGAUUCUUAAAAAUAAAUUCUAUUUGUUCCAAGGAGGAACUCUUGGAAUUUCUGGAAUAAAACGUACCUAUUUAACCUAUGCCCAUCUCUGGGAUAAAAGCUACCUCUGAAGUUAUAUCCAUGAAAAUCGAUUUGAGCUUUCCGUAAAAAAUGAAUAAAUAUGUUUCAGAAUUUUUAGAAAUUCCAUCUCUAAUUCGAUUUUCAAAAAUUUCACUCGAGUAAAGCCGCGGCGGGCUAGCAAAUAUUACUUAAAAUGAUCAGUGAAGGAAAACAUUAUGAGAACUCUCCCUGCCUCAUGUUCUCAAAGCUCUAGGAAGUCUGUCACAGCCAGGCUGGUGGCAGCUCUCCUCAGUCCUGAAAGGAGACCCGUUCUCAGGAAUGGUGAUGAUCCGAGCUCUGAAGUACCUAAUGCAGUAAUGCUAUACUAUGUACCUAAUAAACUCGCUUUGUUUCAAUUUUCGAUUGUUCGGCGAUCAGACUCGACGUCGGCGACGCUGCAGCCAGGCAGCAUUGUUGACUAUUCAAACCUGCCGAUUGCUAGCCUAUCCUUCAUAAAUAACGUGGUCAGUCAUACACUCGUUCAGUACUUGGCUUUUAGGUACAUAAGUAAGUGCAUAAGAAUUAUUAUAAGUUGUAUUUGAUGAAGUGAGCGGGCGGGCAGGUGGGGUGCGGGCAGGCGGGCGUGGCGGCGAGCUGGACGGCGCUGGGCGCGUGGGCGUGGCGGCGCGCGGCGCGCUGGGCGCGCGGGCGCGAGGCGGCGGCGCUGCGCGAGACCGUGCGGGCGCUGCGCGAGCACGCGCUGCCGCUGCUGCAGCAGCUCGCGCGCCACCACCCGCUGCCCGAGCGCCUCGUCGCGCUGCUGCAGGUGCGCAUCGCGUCGCGCCGCGCCGUCCGCGCCGUCCGCGCGUGUACAUCGCCCCGUGUGUCGCAGGAGGCGGAGCGCGGGUUGGCGCGCUACCUGCGCGUGCUGCUGGGCGCCGCGGCGCUGCUGGCGCUGCUGCAGCUGCUGGCCGCCGCCGCCGCGCUGCUCGACGCGCGCCGCGCCGUCCGCGCGCCCCGCGCGCCCCUCGCGCCGCCGCCCGCCUCACUACCACGAUGUCCGCGAGUUGACGUGGACGUCGAGAAGGCCCCCCUGCGGGCCGCGUUCAGGAGCGGUCGGCUGGUGCUGCUGUGACGCCGGAGCGUGUGGCACGCCACUGCUGUCGUGACGCCGGAGCGUGUGGCACGCCACUGCUGUCGUGACGCCGGAGCGUGCGGCACGCCACUGCUGUCGUGAUGCCGGAGCGCGCGGCACGCCACUGCUGUCGUGAUGCCGGAGCGUGCGGCACGCCACUGCUGUCGUGACGCCGGAGCGUGCGGCACGCCACUGCUGUCGUGAUGCCGGAGCGCGCGGCACGCCACUGCCGUCGUGACGCCGGAGCGUGCGGCACGCCACUGCUGUCGUGACGCCGGAGCGUGCGGCACGCCACUUCUGUCGUGAUGCCGCAGCGUGCGGCACGCCACUGCUGUCGUGAUGCCGGAGCGCGCGGCACGCCACUGCUGUCGUGACGCCGGAGCGUGCGGCACGCCACUGCUGUCGUGACGCCGGAGCGUGCGGCACGCCACUGCUGUCGUGACGCCGGAGCGUGCGGCACGCCACUUCUGUCGUGACGCCGGAGCGUGCGGCACGCCACUGCUGUCGUGACGCCAGAGCGUGCGGCACGCCACUGCUGUCGUGACGCCAGAGCGUGCGACUUUUGACGCCCAGUUGACUUGAAUAUAUUUCUAUAUGCUAAGA